UACGUAGGGGGCUAGCGUUGUCCGGAAUCAUUGGGCGUAAAGCGCGUGUAGGCGGUCCGGUAAGUCCGCUGUGAAAGUCGGGGGCUCAACCCUCGGAUGCCGGUGGAUACUGUCGGGCUUGAGUACGGAAGAGGCGAGUGGAAUUCCUGGUGUAGCGGUGGAAUGCGCAGAUAUCAGGAGGAACACCGGUGGCGAAGGCGGGAUCCUGGGCCAGUACUGACGCUGAGGAGCGAAAGCGUGGGGAGCAAACAGG
rnacentral:rRNA from 1 species